rnacentral:lncRNA from 1 species
GGAGUUGAAAGACAGACCGUUAAGAGAUGACUUCCUGGUUGCCAUUUGGCUGCCUGCCUACCCGCUCCCAUGAUCACGCUGUCGAUGUGUAGACGCCUGGGACCCAAGGCCAAGGCCCGCAGAAGGCUGCCUGGCUCGCUCAGUCCCUCCGGCUUGGUGGCAGACCACUGCCUGCUGGGCCGCUCACCCCGUAAUUGUGGUUUCGAGUGGCCAUAGGGGCACAGGAGGCCAGCGGGGAGCUCCUUAGGGGAGAGUCUCUGGAAGACUAGGCUCUUUGUGGGGAAGUCAGGUAACUCCUUUAUACUCUCGAGAGCACAGUUUUGAGGCACAGGAGGACCAUUCACGGGUGAGCAUGAAAUGAUGCCGGACAAGCCAUUUGGAUGAUACUUUGCCCCGCUGAAUUAACUUCCUUCAAUGCGUUCAAUCGCCUGCUUGUUCUUUCAUUUGUAGGCUUCUCAAGAAAACAGUUCUAGUCAAAGGUGGCAGUUAAAAACAGGAAAAAAACUGGCCGUUGAGACUGAAUAGGAAGUGACUAUGCCAUCGGCUCACACUGAGGAAAAGGAAGUUGUUGCCAGGACCUCUAAGAAAGGCAGUUGUGUAAAAUUACCCUUCAACUUGCUUGCUGAGGUUCUGUCACCCUGUAGUGAAAAGCUCCCAUAGUUUUGUUACUUCUGUUCUCAAGAGAUCAUGAGCAGAACAGGAGACUUGCAGGCAGCCCUUGCAGGACCGUUAUCAGGGACUCCCAGAAGUUUCUGGGGCAGAAACUCAACAUUGUAGACAAGCAAAGCUCCCACUCUGUUCUUUUUUUUUUUUUUUUUCUUUCUGUGCCAAAUUGAUAUUUUAAGAUCAGUUAAAACUCAGUAAGUUACACAAUGAAGUCUACCACAAGAGUCAAACCAUAUAGGCAGCAGCAAGGGAUUUUUACUGAGAAAGUCAAGACAGAUUUUUUUUAUUUUAACUUUCAUUUGGGCCCCAGAGCUAGCCUAGGCCACACCACCUUUCCCUUUUUCCUUUCAUUUCUCUUCCUGUCUUUGCUUUCUCACGUAGUUGGUGAGCACAGUGCCAGGAACUGUGAUAAGUAAGGGGGAUACAAAGAAAUGCAAGGAGUUUGCUUUCUUGUAAGAAAUAGAAAAAAAAAAACCAGGAACACUCAGUAACCUUUAAAACAUUGUAUAAAAUUUAAAAAAAAAUAAAACAAGGAGCCCUCAAAGUGAUACAUGAUGAGAGUAGCAAUACGUUACAAAUUCUAGAAAUUAACAUUAUAAAUCACCUAUACUUCAAUACAAUUUUUAAAAAUGAAAAAAAGAUUUUUACGCAAUGGGCACCAGAGAGCAAUUCAUUUUACUUGUGCGGAUGCUGAACGCCUUCCCAAAGAAGGUGAUAUUUGAGCUACGCCUUGACAAAUGGGUAGGAGCUAGCCGGGGAGAGAAUUGGGGAAAGGGCAUUCAAGAUAAAGGAACAGCAGAUUCUGAUGUUGUAGGUCUGAGAUGAAGAAAGAGCAUUAGUAUUUGAUUAAAAAAAAAAAAAAACAACGCUCCACAGGUGAUUAUGAUGUGUCCUCGUGGUUAUGAACCACUAGCUUAGAGGAAUGACAGGCUUUCUUUGAGGACCGUCUGGUAGUUUGGUGUAACAGGCAGAGGCCUGUUACAUGAGGCAUUCCAGCAAUGAGGUUGGAAGGAGAAGCGGGGGGGCCAACUGUGAGCCUUGUAUGCUAUGCUAAAGACUUUGGACUUGACCCAUAGGCUCCUAGGAGUACUGAAUGGUUUUACAGAAGAUAGGAAUUUGCUCCAGAUUUGUAUUAAAAACAACAACAACAACAACAACCAAAAACAGAAACCCACCUCUCUAGUUAGUACAUAAAGGAUAGAUCGGAUAUGGGAGAGACUGGAAGCAGAGGGGCCUAUGAAAAGGCUAUUAGGAGGACACUGUAAAAGUAUAGGAGAGGGAUUAAGCUAAAUUAAUGGCUGUGAGAAUGAAGGAUGGAGAUCGAUUCCAGAAACAAUUUGGAGGCGAAAUCAACAGGAUUCAAUUGAUUGGAUGUGGACGAGACCAGAAGGAGAGGUUUAAAAUGCCAGAGACAUCUAGUGGGGAAAUGGGUAAAUGUUGAUGUCUGGAACUGAAUCAGGGCAUGUGGGAGGACCAGGUUUGGGGAGAAGAGAAGGGAUUUAGUGGGGGUACACUGAGUUGGAGGUGCCUGUACGACAUCUAAGUGGAGGUGUCUAGAAGGCGGUUGAAAAUAACAAGAGGUCAGAUUGCAACGACACCUCCGAGAAUCACAGAGAAAUGCUUUGUAACCUCAUGGCAAGAUGUCAUUAAAGGGCAGAAAAAAUCAAGUUGGAACCAUUCGCUUCCUGUUUAGAAAAGCACUUCUUAAAUAAUUGUCCUAUGAUUUGGUCCAGUCAAAUGCUGCCUGUGCCUGCUGACAUCAUAUCUAUCUGCAAAAAGAAUACUAUUGUCUUCGAAGUAAUGAUCGUUCAUCUUAGGUCUAGAAGAUGGCAUUACUAAACAUUUCUGCUGUAUUCCUGCACACAGAAAUUGCCCUUUGAAUGCAUGAUAAUGACAGUAAAGAAAGGAAUGGAGCAAAGGACAGAAAUGAUGUGAAGAGAUCUGAAUGCUAUGCUGCCAGGUUUUCUGGGCUGGUUUUCUUGUGUGCAACUGUAAAAUAGAUUAUUGUCAGCCAGAACAGUUUGUAUUAUAUUUCCCCUCCUACACUCAAAAGAAAAUGAGGUGGGAGAUGACAUGCAUGCCUGGUUUCAUGAAGCCAAGUUAGUGUCUUCUACAAUGGAAAGAAAAACAGGAACAACUUAGUACAAUCUAAAGCCCAGAUUACUGGUGAAGCCAUAUUUGCCUCCUGUGAAAGUGCACAGCAACCUUAGUUCUAUUUCUCCAAUUUUUCAGAAUCACUCAUACCAUUCUGAUUCUCCCAUUCUUUCAGUUCUGUUGACCUUUUAUGAAACUUCACGUACCCCUAUAGUUUACCAUAUGUGAAGGUAAGCAUUCAAGUGGCUAAAUGCCAACUUGAAAUUAACAUAGAUAAAUCAUGUUUUUCAUAUAAAUUGCGAAAAUCAUGGUAGACAUUUACAAUCUGAGAUCAUGAAAGCAAAUACAAAUAGAUUAUGUUUUAAAUGUUUUGUACAAUGCAUUUUAUUAUGUGUUUGGGUUUUUCUCAGGUGUUACGAGAAACUGAAAUAUACCAGCUCUUAAAUCUUGAAGUAACUUUUGCAUCUGACAGUAUACAGAUUCCUGCUAUGCAAAUUAGAGAAAUGAGUGCUAUUAUGUUGUGAAGGAUGGAUUUAGUUCAUAAAAUAUAUACUAAAAGGAGAUAUUAUUUUUUUUUGCCAGACUCUCAAAGCAUAAAAAGGUUAUUGCUAUAUGGAAAGGUCAUUUAUAUGAAAAAUAACAGAAGAAACUGUGUCUGGGUUGUAAAAUGCUGGUUUAUUGAAUAUGUUUUCUAGUUUAAAAAACGUAAGGUAUGAGUUCUCUUGUGGCACAGCAGGGUUAAGGAUCUGGCGUUGUCACUGCUGUGGUGUGGGUUCGAUUCCUGGCCCAGGAACUUCCACAUGCCACAGGUGCAGCCAAAAAAAAAAAAAAGGACGUUAGGAAUUCAGUGUAGGUAUAACAAUACACUUCAGUAUCACUCUUCCACUUUGGUUCUGUGCAUAGUAAAUUAUGUAUAACGUAAAUCUCUCCUUGUCCUUUUUAAAGCAAGGCGCUCAAGCCAAACUUGUAUUAAUACAAAUAGAGGAAUUAGGUAAUUAUAAAAGCUAUUAUUUAGUGCUUACUCUGUGUCAGACAUGGUUGCAAUUUAUAUAUAUAUAUCCAUGUAAUCCUCACCAUGUACUAUUAUCAUAAUAUCAUUCCCAUUUUAUAGUCGAUGAAACUGAGGCACAGAGAGAUUAAGUAACUCAUUCAAGGUAGAGUUGCCAGAUAAAGUACAGGAUGCCCAGUUAAAUUUAUAUUUUAAUAAGUGACAAAUUUUUCUAUAUGAGAAGUAUACUUAAAAAGCAUUAUUUUCUGAAAUUUGGAUUUAACCGGCCAGCCUGUAUUUUUAUUCAUUGAAUCUGACAACCCUGUAAGCCGAGGUCAUUUAGUUAUUAAGGAGUGGAACCAGAAUUUGAACCCAGGGAUUGUGACAUCAGAAUUCACGUUUUUAACCACAGUAUUUCCACUGAUGAUAAGGAAUGAAGGGUGGAGUGCUUUAUUAUGUAUAUGUGGAAUGUUUAAAAAAUAUAAUGACUCUUGAUGGAGUUCCCGUCGUGGCUCAGUGGUUAGUGAAUCUGAUGAAGAACCAUAAGGUUGCCGGUUCGAUCCCUGGCCUUGCUCAGUGGGUCAAGGAUCCGGCGUUGCCGUGAGCUGUGGUGUAGGUCACAGAUGCGGCUUGGAUCCCCCGUUGCUGUGGCGUAGGCUGGUGGCUACAGCUCGAUUAGACCCCUAGCCGCAGAACCUCCAUAUGCCGCGGGAGCGGCCCUAGACAUGGCAAAAAGACAAAAUAAUAAUAAUAAUAAUGACUCUUGAAUACCUCAUUGGCAGGAUCAUAUGUCUAUAAGACGAGUUUAUUUUAAUUUACCCUAAUUGUUACUAUUAUUUGGCUACAGUAUUUAUAGUGAGAAUUUUUGUUCUAGAAGGAAUGAGAACUAUAACCUUUUUGAUCUAAUUUUUCCUUCAGUGUGGUGAGAGGAAUUAACUGAUCAGUAUUGUUGUUCAGAACACCUUUCUCUUCCUUCAGAAAGCAGCUUUGUGUUGUUUAUAAAGAGUAAGAGCUUUCUCUUAGUAAGAGCUUUUUGAAAGAAAAAUAAUGUGAUAUAUUUACUCACACCAUUUGCUUCUCUCUUCCUUUGAUAUUUUUACUCUAGAACAGGCAACGGGGCAUCGACUUUCUGAAAAGUAGUGCAAUUUGGUAGGGAAGAAAAGCAUGGGCUUUGGAGCCAUACAGAUCUUAGCUGCUGUGUGAAUCUGAGGUCUGAGCCUCAUUUUUUCAUCUGCGAAAUGGAGAUGAUUAAUGCCUCUUUCAAAUGGUGAUGAUGAGCAUUCAGUGGGAUCAUGAACAGAAACUGCUCUAAUGUGAUAUCUGGUCCAGGAGUGAGACUUCACAAAUAAUGGUAGUUCCCUUCUCCUGUGCAUUUGCCUCUUCCCCCUGGGCCUCCACUACUCUCAGCAACCCUCACGAGGCUUUGAAAAUCUUGCACUUAUUUAUGAAAGCAUUUUAACUUGCCCAGAGGUUACAGAGCAGUCAGGGUUAGAGUCAGCUGGAAUCCAGAGUACCUAAAAUGCUUUUCCUCCUUUCGUGAUUUUUUGAAUCCCUGAAACGUUUAGGUUAGAACAGAAGACUACAGUGUGAUUUCUGCUCUUAGACAUUAAUCGUGAGGCGUUGGGGGCUGUUUCUGUUUGGUCGUUUGUUUUGUUUUUGUUUCUGGUUUGUUGGUUUUCCUCUACAUUGGGAAUAUUUUUAGAGUUUCAGGUUGGGUUUUAUACACUUCAGUCUCAUGAGGAAACUCAAUGAAAUUUCGCAAAGGUAGCAUGUUCAUGUAUCUGUCACCCAAGAUCUGACAGAAGGCACCUCAGAAGUCACCUUGCCCUCAUCUGGUCCCUCCCUCCCCCCACCCAAGUGUGUCCACUUCCUUAGCUUCGAACGUUGUGCAUUCCUAUUGUCUACCCUUGACCUUUAGAUGAGUCUAUGUGAUGUGCUUAGAACAGUGCCUGGCAUGUAGUAAACACAAUAUUAGCUUGCCAAAGUGACUUUAACAGUCACAAGAAAGAAGGUAUGUUUUGGGUGUAGAAGUCUUUAUAGGCAUAAGACCGUCAAAAGCAACCGUGUGAGCUAAAGCAUAUGACAAUCAAGUUAAGUACAACAGGCCUGUGAUAAAAAUCUUGAGUUCUUGAAAACGUUUUGCUUCUAUAAAUUAUAUCUAUUGUGUAUUCCAUGGGAAGAAAAAUACAUUCCAUUUGAGACCUCAGAGAAAACAUAUGCCCAAACAUUUGAACACAAUCCAGAAUAAAAAUUUUACUUCAAUCGUUAUAAGACUAAUAAAUGAAAAAGAAGCUUGACAGAAGCCCCUUUAGACCUCAGUUUCCUCAUUGGAAAAUGAAGAGAAUUAGUCCAUCUCUAAGAUUCUUUCCAGAGCUGCCAUUUAAUGGUUGUAUUAAAAAAUUUCUUAAAAAGCAAACUCUGGAAAUCUCGGAACCAUUGUUUCACAGCCAAAGAAUAAAUCUAGAGUCACAGUCAAACAUGACUUUUCGGAAGAAAGGCAGCAGGGUUUCUGUGAGAGAAAAUCAUGCCUGACUCAUCUAUUAGCGCUCAAGAGAGUAAAUAACAUAUGGACAAAGAGGAACCAGGCGAUAGAAUUUACACAGACUUUUAAAAAAGCUUUUGACAAGCUUCCACAUUGUUGACAUUUUUGUUGUUGUGAACGGAAUCCCCGUGGGACUUGGGAAGCAUGUUGUCACGCCAGGUGAGCUAAUUUACAUAAUGAAAUGGGGGAUAGGAAAAAGUGGGUGCUUCUCUGGAUGGAGAAGUGUCUGCAUUAAAAUUCCCAUGGUCCCAGCCUUAUAUAAGGCUUAUAAGUGCUGUAAAAUAAGGGGUACACAGUCAUGUUUCUGUGUUUGUCGAUGGCACUAAACUCUUCUCAGUAGUGAAAUGCUAAGAGGACGUAGGAUAAAUUGCAAGAAAAGCUCUCAAAAUUGUGGGAGUGGGAAAAAAGGAACAAUAGGUUACCUAAGCAAGGUAAGGCAUUUAUAGAAAAAAAAUUCCUAACUAUACAAUACCAAUAAUAAAAUCUGUUGUUACUUGCAGCUCUGCGAAGAGACCUGGGAGUGGUAGAUAUUUCUAGAACAAUUUCAGCUCACUGUGCCAUCUUGGCUGGAAAGGUAACCAGAAUACUGUGCCUUAAUAAAAAACAGAUUAGAAGCAGAAUUGCACCUUAUCUUAUUGAAAAAAUUAAACCUGGUGCAGCUAUAUUUGGAACAUAGCGUUUAAUUCUGGGGACUUUCAUUCAAGAAAGGCAAAAAUGGAGCUCAAGGUGGAGUAGAGAUGAAGAAUGAAGGAAUGAGAAGGAGCUGUGCUGAGACAGACUCCAAGUGUUAGGAUUCUUUAACCCAAAAGUGAAGAUAGAGGCAGUGGCCAAAGUUCACCAAUAAUUGAUGCUUAUUUAGUGCUCACCCUGUGCCUGGCAUAAGUCUAAGCACUUGACAUGUGUUGAAUCAUUCAGUACUUAUUAACCCUGUAAGAGAGGUCCCACUAUUAUCCUCAUUAUAAAAGCAUCACAAAGGGUAUGUACAGAAUAAAUACUGAUCACAGCUAUUUACUGGCUAGAGCUCAGCACCGAUCUUAAAAUGCAAAAGAGUAAAAUCCAAGACAAACAAAAGGAAGUGAGACUUUACACAGUGAGCAGUAAAACCUAGAGAACGCACCACCUAAAGCAACAGUACAAAUCAAGCUGAAAAGAGAUUCCAAGAAGGAUUUAGGCUCUAUUUGUAGAAGAUAAAACCAAGAUAACUUACGAAGAGAAUCUUAUGAAAUGUCUGUACCCUCUAAGGUUGUCAUUAAUGAGGCGAACCACACCCUCUCUACUGCGACUGCCAACAUGUCUCCGAGUCUCCCUGUACUAAUUCUGGGCUGGAUGGGCCAGCAAUUUGGCCAAAUGUGGCUUUUCCUUUUAAUUAUGCUCUAAGAAGGGAAAUGGUACAUGAAUUCCUUGUGGGUAUUCCAGUAUGGUUAUAAUUGAUAUUAUACUCGAAUGUUUUCAUUGAUAGCCUACACUACACAGAAUCCUAUUUUAAGCAAAGCUUCGCCCUAUAGAAAUUGAAUUUUAAAACAAUUACUGCAGAAGAAUGGAUUGCCACACAGAAAGCAAGCAGAGGGUUUUUGCUUUAACAUCCAUCCUCUAGUCAGUAUUUAUUUGGGGUUCUUUCAAUCCCCAUAUUUCUUUCAGAAAUUAUAUUUCAGAAGAAUACAUUUCAUACAAGGAAAAACCAAGAAAAUAGCCUAAAAUCAUAUCCCUGUGCAAACAACUCUCCCGUGGAAACUUACAUAGUACUUUCCUUGUCACACCAAUCCUCAUGAAACCCAAGCACAGACCCAUCCAGUGUUGCUCAGGGCUUCUUCGGUCUUGUUGGUAUAACGCCGCUAGAUUUCACACACUGUACCAGCAUCCUCCCUUGGCUUGGUGACCUCUACGUUAUUGAAACACUGUAUGUGCUCUGGGUACACCCAGGAAAAGACACAGAGAAGAAAGUCUAGGAAUGAAGGUCUAGUUCACAGAGAACUAACCUUAUCUAUGGGAAGGAAGUAUGAAAAGAAAAAUGCAAAAAAAAAAAA